AUUGAACGCUGGCGGCAUGCUUUACACAUGCAAGUCGAACGGCAGCGCGGGCUUCGGCCUGGCGGCGAGUGGCGAACGGGUGAGUAAUAUAUCGGAACGUACCCAAGAGUGGGGAUAACGUAGCGAAGUUACGCUAAUACCGCAUACGAUCUAAGGAUGAAAGCAGGGGAUCGCAAGACCUUGUGCUCCUGGAGCGGCCGAUAUCUGAUUAGCUAGUUGGUGGGGUAAAGGCCCACCAAGGCAACGAUCAGUAGCUGGUCUGAGAGGACGACCAGCCACACUGGAACUGAGACACGGUCCAGACUCCUACGGAGGCAGCAGUGGGGAAUUUUGGACAAUGGGGCAACCCUGAUCCAGCAAUGCCGCGUGAGUGAAGAAGGCCUCGGUUGUAAGCUCUUUGUCUAGGAAG
rnacentral:rRNA from 1 species